GACGAACGCUGGCGGCGUGCUUAACACAUGCAAGUCGAACGGAAAGGCCCUGCUUUUGUGGGGUGCUCGAGUGGCGAACGGGUGAGUAACACGUGAGUAACCUGCCCUUGACUUUGGGAUAACUUCAGGAAACUGGGGCUAAUACCGGAUAGGAGCUCCUGCUGCAUGGUGGGGGUUGGAAAGUUUCGGCGGUUGGGGAUGGACUCGCGGCUUAUCAGCUUGUUGGUGGGGUAGUGGCUUACCAAGGCUUUGACGGGUAGCCGGCCUGAGAGGGUGACCGGCCACAUUGGGACUGAGAUACGGCCCAGACUCCUACGGGAGGCAGCAGUGGGGAAUACUGCACAAUGGGCGGAAGCCUGAUGCAGCAACGCCGCGUGCGGGAUGACGGCCUUCGGGUUGUAAACCGCUUUCGCCUGUGACGAAGCGUGAGUGACGGUAAUGGGUAAAGAAGCACCGGCUAACUACGUGCCAGCAGCCGCGGUGAUACGUAGGGUGCGAGCGUUGUCCGGAUUUAUUGGGCGUAAAGGGCUCGUAGGUGGUUGAUCGCGUCGGAAGUGUAAUCUUGGGGCUUAACCCUGAGCGUGCUUUCGAUACGGGUUGACUUGAGGAAGGUAGGGGAGAAUGGAAUUCCUGGUGGAGCGGUGGAAUGCGCAGAUAUCAGGAGGAACACCAGUGGCGAAGGCGGUUCUCUGGGCCUUUCCUGACGCUGAGGGGCGAAAGCGUGGGGAGCGAACAGGCUUAGAUACCCUGGUAGUCCACGCUGUAAACGGUGGGUACUAGGUGUGGGGUCCAUUCCACGGGUUCCGUGCCGUAGCUAACGCUUUAAGUACCCCGCCUGGGGAGUACGGCCGCAAGGCUAAAACUCAAAGGAAUUGACGGGGCCCCGCACAAGCGGCGGAGCAUGCGGAUUAAUUCGAUGCAACGCGUAGAACCUUACCUGGGUUUGACAUGGAUCGGGAGUGCUCAGAGAUGGGUGUGCCUCUUUUGGGGUCGGUUCACAGGUGGUGCAUGGCUGUCGUCAGCUCGUGUCGUGAGAUGUUGGGUUAAGUCCCGCAACGAGCGCAACCCUUGUUCACUGUUGCCAGCACGUUAUGGUGGGGACUCAGUGGAGACCGCCGGGGUCAACUCGGAGGAAGGUGGGGAUGACGUCAAGUCAUCAUGCCCCUUAUGUCCAGGGCUUCACGCAUGCUACAAUGGCUGGUACAGGGAGUGGCGAGCCUGUGAGGGUGAGCGAAUCUCGGAAAGCCGGUCUCAGUUCGGAUUGGGGUCUGCAACUCGACCUCAUGAAGUCGGAGUCGCUAGUAAUCGCAGAUCAGCAACGCUGCGGUGAAUACGUUCCCGGG
rnacentral:rRNA from 1 species